UGCCAGCAGCCGCGGUAAUACGAAGGGUGCUAGCGUUGUUCGGAAUUACUGGGCGUAAAGAGCAUGUAGGCGGAUGAAUUAGUCAGAGGUGAAAGCCCCGAGCUCAACUUGGGAACUGCCUUUGAUACUGUUUAUCUAGAGUCCGAGAGAGGUUAGUGGAAUUCCCAGUGUAGAGGUGAAAUUCGUAGAUAUUGGGAAGAACACCAGUGUCGAAGGCGGCUUUCUGGACCGAUACUAACGCUGAGACGCUAACGCUUUGAGCGAAAACAGUCUUCGAUC
rnacentral:rRNA from 1 species